rnacentral:rRNA from 1 species
AAUUUUGGACAAUGGGGGAAACCCUGAUCCAGCCAUCCCGCGUGUAUGAUGAAGGCCUUCGGGUUGUAAAGUACUUUUUGCAGAGAGGAAAAGGCAUCACCUAAUAAGGGAUGCUGCUGACGGUAUCUGCAGACAAAGCCCCGGCUAACUACGUCCCAGCAGCAGCGGUAAUACGUAGUGUGCAAGCGUUAAUCGGAAUUACUGGGCGUAAAGCGUGUGUAGGCGGUUCGGAACAAAAGAUGUGAAAUCCCAGGGCUCAACCUUGGAACUGCAUUUUUAACUGCCGAGCUAGAGUAUGUCAGAGGGGGGUAGAAUUCCACGUGUAGCAGUGAAAUGCGUAGAUAUGUGGAGGAAUACCGAUGGCGAAGGCAGCCCCCUGGGAUAAUACUGACGCUCAGACACGAAAGCGUGGGGAGCAAACAGG